rnacentral:rRNA from 1 species
GACGAACGCUGGCGGUGUGCUUAACACAUGCAAGUCGAACGGAAAGUCCCUGCUUUUGUUGGGUGCUCGAGUGGCGAACGGUUGAGUACCACGUUAGUAACCUGCCCUUGACUUUGGGAUAACUUCAGGUAACUAGUGCUACUACCGGAUAGGAGCUCCUUCGGCAUGGUGUGGGUUGGAAAGUUUCGGCGGUUGGGGAUGGACUCGCGCCUUCUCAGCUUGUUGUCGGGGUAUUGGCUUACCAAGCCGUUGACAGGUAGCCGGCGUGAGAGGGUGACCGGAGACAUAGGGAGUGAGAGACGGCGCAGACUCUUAUGGGAGGCAGAAGUGGGGAAUAUUGCACGAAGGGCGGAAGACUGAUGCAGCAACGCAGCGUGCGAGAGGACGGGCUUCGGGUGGUAAAAAGCUUUCGCCUGUGACGAAGAGUGAGUGACGGUAAUGGGUAAAGAAGCACCGGCUAACUACGUG